CUUUUACUCCCUCUGUUCGGAAUUACUUGUCGUAGAAAUGGAUGUAUCUAGACAUUUUUUAGUUCUAGAUACAUCCAUUUCUGCGACAAGUAAUUCGGAACGGAGGGAGUACUUG
rnacentral:pre_miRNA from 1 species